rnacentral:tRNA from 1 species
GAGAGGAUAGCUAAGUGGACGAAGGCCACCGGCAGAUGAAAGCGCCGGUUCGGAAUACCCGACACGCAGGUUCGAAUCCUGCUCCUCUCA